rnacentral:misc_RNA from 1 species
GAUGAAGAACGUAGUGAAAUGCGAUAAGUAGUGUGAAUCGCAGAAUUCAGUGAAUCAUCGAAUCUUUGAACGCACAUUGCGCCUUCUAGUAUUCUGGGAGGCAUGCCUGUUUGAGCGUCAUUAAACCUCUCUCAAGUAUGAUUACUUGGAUGUGAAGGAAGAGUACCUUAAACUUAAGGAGUGUUCUCCUUUGAAAUUGAUUAGCAGAUGGUAAUGUUAUUAAAUCCCUGAUGUUGUAAGAAAUAACAGUGGUUUUGUAGACUAUUAUCUAGCUUUAAAUUAUAAUUUUUAUUAUGGUUGACCUCAAAUCAGGUAAGGAUACCCGCUGAACUUAAGCAUAUCAAUAAGCGGAGGA